CAGAGUUUGGAAACAAUAUGCCUUCUGCUUGCAUACAAAAUCAAAUAUCCUGAAAACUUCUUUCUCUUGAGAGGAAAUCAUGAAUGUGCUUCUAUUAAUCGAAUUUAUGGUUUCUAUGAUGAAUGUAAGCGCCGAUUCAAUGUGAGGCUGUGGAAAGUCUUCACUGAUUGUUUCAACUGUCUUCCCGUGGCAGCUCUUAUAGAUGAUAAAAUACUUUGCAUGCAUGGUGGUCUUUCUCCUGAUCUAACAGACAUGGAUCUGAUACGAAAUUUACCUCGUCCUACAGAUGUUCCAGAUUCCGGUUUGCUUUGUGAUUUACUUUGGUCAGAUCCUAGUAGGGAAGUUAAAGGUUGGG
rnacentral:misc_RNA from 1 species